UUGUCUUGAUGAGGAUCUGAGAAUCUGAAAGGAUUGAGAUGUGUUCGAGACCACUGGAGAGGGCAAAGGUCAUGGCUUUGAGGACAGCCAAGGUUUCCGCCAUGAGGGGCGAGGAGACGAAGGUCAUACUUGCUGCAUGUUGUGAUGUCGAAGCCAGAUCAUCAACGAUCCAACCAAAUCCUGCAUUACCUGUUGAAGAAUUCCAUGCUGCAUCUGUGGAGAUGGAGUAUAGAUCGGGCCUUCUAGGGUUUGGUUCGACCCUGAUCACAGGCUUCAGUUGAGAGGUAGUUGUUGUUGGUUGAGCCAUCACCCAUUCUCGGGCUUCAGAGAUCGCUCUCAAGAUCGUUUCUUCGGGAGAAGAGCUUCGCUUCUCGAAGAUGAGUUGAUUCCUUGAGCGCCAGAGAGACCAACAGAUCCAGGCUGCUAAAGAUCCCGCUUCAAUUCCUACUGGUGGCAGAGAAGGGGCAUUGGAAAAGAAGGUGGAGUAUUGAUUCUUCUGCGUUGCAUCUUGUACAGAGAGCAGAGACAGACAUUAGGUAACCAAUCAAAAGCUUCAGCUGGGGAUGUCGGAGUUCUAUCGAUCUUCUCCUCCUGAGGGUAGCCUGAUCGUGUUGAAUACUCUCCUGAGGGAUUUUUAAGCCAGACCAGCGUAUCAGUAGCUCUUUGUUUGCUGGGUUUUAGUCUCAGUAUUUGUUCUUUGUGGCAGGGAAGGUAGCGCUCUAUCUUUUCUACAUCCCAUUCCGAGUUAUCCGGUCGGAUCAAGUCAGAGACUUUGAGGUGUUGUAGACUUUCUGGAGCAGGGCCAAAAGGUAACGCUCUAUCUUUUUCUGUUAAUAAUUGUAUUUAAUACCGACGAAUUUACGUAUUAUCCAAGACUUUCUAUUACUACACUGUCAUCACUUCUGAAAACGUUUUAAAUAGUGAAAAUCUUUUUUUUAUGAGUUUUGGGAUUUAGUGGAGAUAGGAUGUCGCACAUCAAUAUAAAUAUAUUCAAAUAUAUAACAUUGCAAAUUUUCAAUUUCUAUAAAAUAGUUAUCCGACUAAUCAAGCUCACUAUAAGGUUAUGAUUGGCGACAACUGAUUCGCGGAUUUCAACGCGGUAUUCUGAAAACCGCACUCUGUUUACCAUUCACACUAUUUUGUUUUAAAAUGUGGUUUUAUGCAAACAAUAAAACAAAAAACGCACUUCAAAAAAUUGACAGAGAAUAGGCUUCUAAAAGCAAUAACGCUUCCCAAAAGUAGACCGCGGAUAUUAACCAGCGGUCCAGUGAAAUCCGCAUGGGUUAACAGUUUUUUUUUCCGAUUUUUAAAAUAAUAUUUUAAUACUAAAACUCUAUAUAAAUAUACCUGUUGGACAAUACUAUACCAUUCACUUUGCACCUAAAAACGUUUUUGAAUUCAACUCUUUCAAAUAAAUUGUUUUUUUUUCUUGAACUGACUCAAAUAAAUUGUUUUUCUCUAUGUUAAAAAGGUGAAAUUAGUUAUAAAAUUAUAACUAAUGCACUGAAUUUAAGUUAAACUGAUAAUAUGUUAAAAUUAUACUAAAUAAUGUUAUAUAGACUAAUACACAUACAAUUUAUUGUUAUACUGUCUAAUUAGUUAUCUUUUAGUAAGUUUAUAUAGUAGCUAUGCAUUCUAAAUAAUGCAGUCAAUAUUAUUGUAGUUUAUUGAAAAUCUAAGAGAAUUUGCGUUCUACACACAAGAAAGAUCACAUAAUUAGCUCUAUACACAUAUUUUGUUUUCAUAGGAAUUGUCGAUUAAUUUAUGACCAUUAUACCCCUAUUGCCUUCUAAUCUUCGAUUUUCAUGAUGCCCACAUAUUCUUCUAUUUUUCUGAUAAUCGAAUUAUACACGAAAUGUAUUUGUGUCAGACAACUUGAUAUAUUAUACAAUUCUGUCUUCUUUGUGUCAAUUAUCCAAUCCAAAUGGAUCCCUGCGGCAGUGUAACGCCGCCUCCAUCUUUUCCUCGUAGAUGUCAUCCGGUUUUGUUUUGAUGGUGCUUCUUCUCUUCAUCUUCUGAUUCGUUUGCGUUGUGCGGCAGACUUCUAGGAAAGCUUCGAGGGUUCUGGUGGCUCGUUGGUUGUAGGCGGAGGCUCUGCCUGAGGACGGUGGAGCGGACAACCGAUUCCGCAAGUCAGUCAUCGGGAUCCCUAAAGUUUGUCUCGAUUGUUGAGAGGUGCUCGUUUGACGGCAGAUCUAUCCAUGGAGAUGGCGGUUCUUCCGGUGACGAUUCCUUUCCGGCGUGGUUGCUUCUUGGCCGGUGUGUAAGAGGAGGAGCAUGUGAUUGUUUGGACUUGUGAGAAGGUGGAGACCCUUCACAAUCAACGGCAGAAGAGUUUGAGAGUAAGUGUUCUCUAUGGCUCUGGUGUUAUGUGGCCCAGGGACCCCUCUGGGAUGGCUUAGCUUUGAAGGUACAUCGGUGAAGGUUCUAUUGGCUGGCAUGGACACUCCGCUGUAGUGAUGUCUCGGAUACCAUUUUACGCUGGUCGUCGGUGUCUGUCGCAGGUGUAGGCUCCGCGUCCUUCGUCUUUCCCCACAUCUCCCCUAGUUCGCUUUAGAUAUUGUUGUUUAGGUGUGUUUCUUUUUUUUUCCAUGUAACCUAGCAAUUUCCGUUUCACCGGAGCUCCGGUCUGUUUAUGUUUUGAUUUCCCCAUAGGGGCUUGUUAUAUAUUUAUCUGUUACAAGUGGAGUUUUUUUUGUUUUUUUGAACUGAUUCUCUAUUACAAGUGGAAUUUACAAACCAAAACGACCAGACCCCUUGCUAAACUCUCCUUUUUAACAGUCCCGGUAAAAGAUUAAACAUACUGCUAUCAUCCAAGUUCGAUUACUAAAAUGUUUAGCCUUAACAAAAAGAAACUAUCAGACUAACACACCGAGUAACCGACCAACGAAGAUGCAAUCCUUCAACAGACACUUCAUUACACCAACAGUUACAAGUGAAUUUAGCAAACCAAAAUGACCGGACACAUUGCUAAAUUCCCGUUUUAACCCUCCCGAGAAAAGAUAAAAUAGAUACUACUAUCGUUCAAGGUCUGUUAGACUGUUACUAAAUUGUUUAGCAAUGUUGCAUCUUCAUUGGAAACCGAAAUUACAUGCCUUUUUACCGACGAGCCACCAAAGCUUGAAGCUUUCAUAGGGUCUUCCCUUUUAUGCAGCCGCUCCUAUCAGAUACCCCAAGCCUCUGAUUGGCCAAUACUUCUCAACUUAUCCCGUUCACGUAUCUGGGGGUUGACAAAUACUUAGGAAUCAUUACUACUAUAACCAAUAAAAACUAUUAUAGCUUCCACCCUAAAAUUGGCCUACCGUAAAAUACCUUUCUAUGCAAUCUAAGGACAGUAUCGUCAACGGUAGGAGCAUGUGAUUGUUUGGACUUGUGAGAAGGUGAAGACCCUUCGCAAUCAACGGCAGAAGAGUUUGAGAGUAAGUGUUCUUUAUGGCUCUGGUGUUAUGUGGCCCCGGGACCCCUCUGAGAUGGUUUAGCUUUGAAGGUACACCGGUGAAGGUUCUAUUGGCUGGCAUGGACACUCCGCUGUAGUGAUGUCUCGGAUACCAUUUUACCCUGGUCGUCGGUGUCUGUCGCAGGUGUAGGCUCUGCGUCCUUCGUCUUCUUCCCCACAUCUCCUCUAGUUCGCUUUAGAUAUUGUUGUUUAGGUGUGUUUCUUCUUUUUUUCCAUGUAACCUAGCAAUUUCCGUUUCACCGGAGCUCCGGUCUGUUUAUGUUCUGAUUUCUCCAUAGGGGCUUGUUAUAUAUUUAUCUGUUACAAGUGGAGUUUUUUUUAUUUUUUUGAACUGAUUCUCUGUUACAAGUGGAGUUAACAAACCAAAACGACCAGACCCCUUGCUAAACUCUCCUUUUUAACAGUCCCGGUAAAAGAUUAAACAUACUGCUAUCAUGCAAGUUCGAUUACUAAAAUGUUUAGCCUUAACAAAAAGAAACUAUCAGACUAACACACCGAGUAGCCGACCAACGAAGAUGCAAUCCUGCAACAGACACUUCAUUACACCAACAGUUACAAGUGAAUUUAGCAAACCAAAACGACUGGACACAUAGCUAAACUCCCGUUUUAACCGUCCGGAGAAAAGAUAAAAUAGAUACUACUAUCGUUCAAGGUCUGUUAAGACUGUUACAAAAUUGUUUAGCUUUCACAAAAACAAACCGACUGGCUAACUCAACAAGUAACCGACCAAUGAAGAUGCAACAUUGCAAACAAACACUUUAUUACUAGAAAAAAGACUUUCACACAGAGAAGCUACCAGCUUUUCACUCCCCAUCAACACAUUUCAGCAUCCACCCUCUGUGAUGCUCCCUUCAAAGGAUGUCUCUUUUUCCCUCUCACAACCAUUGCUUGUCCCCACUCCUUUCGGUUUACUAGUCAAAGCUAGCUUCAUCAUUUGUUGCCAACUGUUAGCAUCCGAGUUUGGAUCUCGUGCUUUUGUGUUGUUCCUCUCAGCUAAUUCCAAAGGGCCUGAAGCCAAUUUUUCACCACCACUUCUCUUUUAUUAUUGAUAGCUAAUAUUAUGUUUAGCUUAAGUCUUGAAGGUUUUCUCCGGAUAAUAAUAUUUUAAAAAAAACAUUCUCCAUAAUUUCAUAGAGCACUUUUCUCUUAUUUAAUUACACAGCUAAUUUUCAUUUGUUGUAAUCUACAAAAGGCUUGUUUACUCAAUAACUAAAACAUUAUACGAAGAAGGGAUUUUAUUUAAAUAUAACAUAUCGAUACGUAUUGUACUCCUUACAUCCCAAAGUUGGAUUACACUACAAACAGAGCAUACUAAAAAAUGCUAAAACAACCUUUCAUAUAUUUUACAUGCUA